rnacentral:rRNA from 1 species
UACGUAGGGUGCGAGCGUUAAUCGGAAUUACUGGGCGUAAAGCGUGCGCAGGCGGUUUUGUAAGUCAGAUGUGAAAUCCCCGGGCUUAACCUGGGAACUGCGUUUGAAACUACAAGGCUAGAGUGUAGCAGAGGGGGGUGGAAUUCCACGUGUAGCAGUGAAAUGCGUAGAGAUGUGGAGGAACACCGGUGGCGAAGGCGGCAUCCUGGACCGGCAUUGACGCUGAGGCGCGAAAGCUAGGGGAGCAAACGGG